rnacentral:rRNA from 1 species
UACGUAGGUGACAAGCGUUGUCCGGAUUUACUGGGCGUAAAGAGCGCGCAGGCGGUCGUUCAAGUCGAGUGUGAAAGCCCCCGGCUCAACUGGGGAGGGUCAUUCGAUACUGAUCGACUCGAAGGCAGGAGAGGGUAGUGGAAUUCCCGGUGUAGUGGUGAAAUGCGUAGAUAUCGGGAGGAACACCAGUGGCGAAGGCGGCCUUCUGGACCAGUACUGACGCUCAUGCACGAAAGCGUGGGGAGCAAACAGG